GAAGAAGCAGAGGAGUGUGGCGUGGGGGUCACUUGUCUCUGCUUUGCCCCUUGAUAGCCUUGUGACUUCGAGCCAGUUGUUUGGCGCUCUGUGCCUCAGUUUCCUCAUCUGGGGAUGGAGUGAGUCAUGCUAACCUCCCAGGCUGCCGUGAGGAUGCAGUGAAUGCACAGGUGUGAAGCAGUAGCACACAGGAGGCCCUGGAAAUGAUGAGUGUCUUUCAUUAGUGACUGAGCAGCAGGGAGUGGGGAAGGCCAGGGCCAGAUUCUGCAGCGCUUCCCAGAGAAGGACUGGGAGGACAACCCAUUCCCCCCAGG
rnacentral:lncRNA from 1 species